rnacentral:rRNA from 1 species
UGGGGAAUUUUUCGCAAUGGGGGAAACCCUGACGAAGCAACGCCGCGUGGAGGAUGAAGGCCUUCGGGUUGUAAACUCCUGUCGACCGGGACGAAAGUUAUCUGGGCUAACAUCCCAGGUAGUCGACUGUACCGGUGGAGCAAGCCACGGCUAACUCUGUGCCAGCAGCCGCGGUAAUACAGAGGUGGCAAGCGUUGUUCGGAAUUACUGGGCGUAAAGGGCGCGUAGGCGGUCUUGUAAGUCUUGUGUGAAAUCCCUCGGCUUAACUGAGGAACUGCACGGGAUACUGCGAGACUUGAGAUCGGGAGAGGGAAGCGGAAUUCCGGGUGUAGCGGUGAAAUGCGUAGAUAUCCGGAGGAACACCGGUGGCGAAGGCGGCUUCCUGGACCGACACUGACGCUGAGGCGCGAAAGCUAGGGGAGCAAAC